rnacentral:rRNA from 1 species
GAUGAACGCUAGCUACAGGCUUAACACAUGCAAGUCGAGGGGUAACGAGAGGAAAGCUUGCUUUCCUUGUCGACGACCGGCGCACGGGUGAGUAACGCGUAUCCAACCUGCCCCCAACUAGGGAAUAACCUUGCGAAGGUAAGACUAAUACCCUAUAAUUUCCUCAGAUGUCAUCUGACGAGGAAUAAAGAUUUAUCGGUUGUGGAUGGGGAUGCGUCUGAUUAGCUUGUUGGCGGGGUAACGGCCCACCAAGGCAACGACCAGUAGGGGUUCUGAGAGGAAGGUCCCCCACAUUGGGACUGAGACACGGUCCAAACUCCUACGGGAGGCAGCAGUGAGGAAUAUUGGUCAAUGGGCGGAAGCCUGAACCAGCCAAGUAGCGUGCAGGAUGACGGCCCUAUGGGUUGUAAACUGCUUUUAUACAGGAAUAAAGUUAGCCACGUGUGGUUAUUUGUAGGUACUGUAUGAAUAAGGACCGGCUAAUUCCGUGCCAGCCGCCGCCGUAA